rnacentral:rRNA from 1 species
GACGAACCGUGCGAACGUUGUUCGGAUUCACUGGGCUUAAAGGGCGCGUAGGCGGGUCAGCAAGUCCGGGGUGAAAGCUUUCGGCUCAACCGGAAAAGGGCCUUGGAUACUGCUGGUCUGGAGGAAGGUAGGGGCGUGUGGAACUUCCGGUGGAGCGGUGAAAUGCGUAGAUAUCUGGAGGAACACCGGUGGCGAAGGCGGCAUCCUGGACCGGUAUUGACGCUGAGGCGCGAAAGCCAGGGGAGCAAACGGG